UAUGCACGUAACACGCCCAGCUGCGCUAGAGGAAAGGUGUCUCCGGGAUUGGAGUAACGCUUGUUUGUGUCUUUGUAUUUUGAUUCUGGUAUCAGGGAUUCAGGAAGAGUUGCUCAGCUUUUUGUGUUUUGGUUCUGAUGCAGCUUUGAAGGAGAGUUGUUCAGUUGCGCCUAGUUUCUUUUAGCUGUAUGAUGAUGUGGUAUUUAUUUUUUGUGCUAUUGCUUGGUUUACUCAUUACUAAAUAAUCUUAUGCUAAAUGUGAGAAGGAAUAUUCGACUGAGUUAGACGUUGCUCCUCCGAAAAAUGUAAAUAUUUUACCUUCGUGUUUUCCCGAACAAAUAGUUGAAGUCUCAAAUGAAUUCGAAUUCAAGGAAAGAUCAGAAUUUGCAACGGAAUCGGGUAACAAGUUUAACUUUUUUUUUUUCCGAAGAUUUAAGCGAUCCUAAUAAUAUAUUUAAAUUUUACUAUAUGGGAAGAUAGAUAUAUACAUAAACACAGGUAUAAAAAUACACUAGUUUAUACUUUUCUUUUACUAUAUCGUACUUGGUAUACACUGAGAUACAUAAUCGUGGAGUCAAAAUUCGUUAUUUGUUUGUAAUUGGAUCGCAACCAUAAUAUAUUGCGUUAUGGUCGUCCAUCAGAAUCAUCCGACUCACGGGCCCAUCGGGACACCGACACGACUAACACAUUCAAGAACUGAUUCGGCCGAAGCUGAAGCCUGCACUGUCAACCCAACAACUCCUAACAGACGCAAUGGACGACAUGGCAGCUUACUACGCUCAACCUGCCGCUCACUACGCUUACUACCAGGCCCCUCCUCCGCCGCCCGGAGCGACGGCGCCGGCGCCACCUCAAGUUGUUGUCCCAGCGCCACAGCACCAACUCCUCCACCACCCGUACGUCCCGCACCAACCGCCUCCCCUCUCAUCGUACGCGUCUCUCUUUGCUUCGCACUCUUCCCGGGACGAGGUCCGGACUCUCUUCAUUGCAGGUCUUCCCGAUGAUGUCAAGCCCCGCGAGAUUUACAAUUUAUUGCGGGAAUUCCCGGGUUACGAGUCUUCGCAUCUUCGUGGCCCCAGCCAGUCUCAGAAUUCUCAGCCCUUUGCUUUUGCUGUAUUCUCGGAUCAGCAAUCUGCAGUAGCAGCAAUGCAUGCGCUUAAUGGGAUGGUGUUUGAUCUUGAGAAGGGUUCAUCUUUAUAUAUUGACCUUGCCAAGUCAAAUUCCAGAUCCAAGCGCUCAAGGGCAGAUGAUGAAUGGCCUGGCUCAGAUAAGAAAGCUAGAGGAUCCAUCUCUAGGAGCAUUCCUGAUUCGGGUUUUGGCAGCGUUCACUUGCCUGGAAUGAGUAAUUCUGCUUACAACACGAUUGGUUAUUCAUCUACACAAAGUCAUGAGAGUUUUGAUGCUAGAGCUGCAAAUGGGACAGCAUCUAGAUUGAAUAAUUCCACAGCACAAAAUGCUACCCCAUGUCCAACACUUUUUGUGGCUAAUUUAGGGCCAACUGUUACAGAGCAAGAAUUAACUCAAGUAUUUUCAAGUUGCCCUGGGUUUUUGAAAUUGAAGAUGCAGAGUACGUAUGGGGCACCAGUUGCAUUUGUUGAUUUUCAGGACACUGCCUGUUCAACCGGGGCACUAAAUAGUCUGCAAGGCACGAUUUUGUACUCAUCAUCAGCAGGCGAUGGCAUGCGAUUGGAGUAUGCAAGAUCUCGGAUGGGAAUGCGUAAGAAGGUCAAGUGAUUGUAAAUGAAAGUAGGGAGCAUAAAUAUUUUCUGGUGCACUUACCUCGCCGGCAGAUUAACUUCAAACAGGACUGUACCAAAAUAGAUUUGCUUAAAUCAGGGUGAGAUGCAGCUAACCGGCCGAGCCGAACCUUCCAAAGUUUAGGGUAAUGUUAUUUUCGCCAGGCAUAUUCAUAUUUUUGCAGAUUGAAUAAGACCCUAGUAGUGCUUAAUCCUGUAUGCAUGCACGAGUCAUUUUGGCUCUCAGAGAUUGUUGUCUUUGAAAAUGAGAUCUGAUGCGUAAAGCUUAAAUCAUGUCUCUGUUAUAUAGCAAA